UGCACCCAGGUGGAGCAGCUGCCAGACACAGAGGCCUUAAUUUGAAAAGCACCUUGGUGCUUCCCAGCUCAAAGGAUCUCAUAUAAAUAUGGCAAGAGCCGAGAGACAGAGCUCACAGCUUUCUCCAUCUCCAUGGAACAACAGGAGGUCAAUGUUGCUUCUGAUGAUUCCCUCACCUGUCCACUCCAACUUGUAAAAGAUAGGAUGGCAGUAUCAUAGUCUGCUGGCUAGAAUUUCCUGAUUGGGAGUUGGAUGGAAGAGGUUCUAUGCACAGCUCUGACACUACCUGAUCUUGGCUUCACCCGUUCCCAAGAGUUUACAGUCUGAAGCCCUGUUCCAAAGCUGAAUGAACUCCAUCAGAAGAAUCUCACUGACUUCAAUCCGUUUUGAAUCAGGUCCUGACGUAGCUUACAGGGAUGCCGAUGAGGAGCAAGUCUGCUGAGACACUGUCAUAGAGUCACCGGGCGGUGCUCUGGAACUACUCCAUACAAAGCCAGUCAGGACUCUGGAGGAGCCUCCUCUCUGUGAGCAGACUGUCUUCAGGGCAAGAAGCUUACACAGCUUCGAUCUUCCUGAGUCUGACCUUGGAGCAUUCGGCAUCCCCUUCCACACCGUGCGCUUCCCACAGCGAGUCGACAUAGACAGGGCUCCUGCGGAAGCCAGUGGGUCUUGCACCCCAAUUCCACAGUCAGACAUGACUCUCAGCCAGCCAGUAAAACAGAAGGUUUAUUAGAUGAGAGGAACACGGUCUAAAACAGAGCUUGUAGGUACAGGGAACAUGCCCUCAGUCAGGUCCGUCUUGCCCUCAGUCAGGUCCGUCUUGUGGGGCAGGGAGGCCAGAGUCCCAUCUGGACCUCCCUCCAUUUUCCCAGCCAGCUCCAAACUGAAACUCUCCUGCCCCUCCUCUGGCCUUUAUCUCUUUCCCAGGCCAGGAGGCCACCUGAUAUCUUUGUUCUCCAACACCUUCAGUUGGCACCUUGCAGAGGAGGGGCCCAGGCCAUCAGUUUGCCAGGAGACAGGGUGUUUGCCAUUCUCUGUGCAGACACCAUCACACUGGCCCUCUAGGGCUCUGCAACAACCACACACCCUUAUCCCACCACCUAGAUACUUAAGAAAUGCAUAGGGGAAACUGAGGCACCCACCCAGUAUUCAGAGAGAACAUUAAGAACAGUCCCACUUCGUCACAGACACCCAUGAGGAUGUGGGGACUCACUAAGCAAUGAGAAGAAAGAAGAGGCGUUUGCUUCAGAUAGUGAGUCAUAUGACUGUACCACCCUGAACAGUCUUAAUCAUAUCUGAUCUGUGAAGCUAAGCAGGGUCAGGCCAGGCCUAUUCAGUAGUGAGUGGGAGACUUUGUAGGAAUACUUGGUGUGGUAGGCUUAGUGAGGAGUCCAGUGUCUAGGUCACUAGCCUGGGAUUUGGGGAGGACAACUUCAGGUCCUUGCUGCCUUACAGACUUCCUGUGUAAUCUUUUACAAGCCACUUAAGUCUCCUUGUGUCUCAGGUCCCCAUCUGUAAAAUGGGGGUAAUAGCACUUACCCCUCAUGGGGGGUGUUACAAAGAUAAAUACAUGAAAGGCUGAGGUGCUCAGAUAUUAUGGUAAUGGGAGCCAUAUAAGUAAUUAAAUUACAGGCUUGAAGGAAGAAGGCACAGCAUAAAGCAUUGGCAAUGCAGACAGUGUGAGCUGGAGUAUGAGAUGCACAAAGGGCAGGAUGAUAUUCGGUCUUUGAUAAGAAGCUUGACUGUGGGGCAAUAGGGGAUAGGAAGCCAAUGGAUGGAAUUAAUGGGGGGAGGUGAUGUGUUUGGCUUCAAACAAAAGUAGAGGAAGGUGAGAGGCAGUGAGUCUAGCCAGAAUAAAGUUGUAGUCCUUAUAACAAUAAGAUUUGCAGGGUGAAAUGCGGGUUGCAUUGAAGUCAAUGGGAGUCUAACCACUGACUUCAGUAGAACCCAGAUUUCUUGAUCCAUUCCCAUAUGGUUUGACACUAGUGUAGGAUGGGCACUUAAAAAUGAUGCUGUCUCCCUGUAACUAGCCACUGUCAUAAUUAAGCUGUAUCAUAAUUUUAAAAAUAAGAGAAUCAUAAAUAGGUUUGAGCAGGCAAAAACCUUUGGCUAUGUGUCCUGUGUCAUAAAUAACUAUCAAGCUGGGACUGUGCCUCAAAAUCUCAUUUGCUUCCACUUUACCUAAGAGUAGAAUAUGUGAUUAUUUACACACAGUGUCUUGUUUCUAUUAGUACUUUUAAAACUCACUAUCUGGAAGCUAUCCGUUUAAUCUAAGCUAAUUAGGGUAAUAACAGCCGAGUGUUAUUUUUACACACUCAUCAGCAAGCAAUCCUAUUGACUGUAUGCCAAUAAUGUGUUGUGAACAGACUCUGAUAUGGGCUUGUGGCACACUGAGUGAAAUUUCCCACUUAAAGGCAAAAGAAUAUGGCUCAAAUUCUCCCUUCAUUUAUAGUGGUGUGCAGCCUCAUUGACUUCACUGGGGUUACACCCAUGUUCAUGACAGAGAAUAGGUGGUGACUCUCUCAGAAGCAGGUAGCCAUGCACUCAGCACACAACGUGAUGCCAUUAUCUUGGAGAAAUGGGAGGUAAGGUAUUGCACAUUUAAGCCGCAGUCCUGCUUUGUUUGUGAGACUGAUGCUUACUCAUGUCAUACUUCUAUACCUAUUAAUAUACAACUUUUCUAUGUUAGCUCAUCUCUUUAAAAGGAUGGUUACAGUAACGAGUAUACUAGUCAGUGUCUCACUUUCUUUACUGCUUUCUUAGGGACUAUUCUUUUUGGUCUGUGUUUACACAGCGCCUAGCACAAUGGUUUGUGACAAGGGCUUAUAGGUAUGACAAUAAUACAAAGUGUUGCUCAUUCCAAAGUCCAUCAGCAUUUAAACUCGUAUACUAUUCCUUUAUGUUUAUAACCAUACUUUAUAUGUAAAUCUCCAAGUACAUCUGUGAACAAUAGACUCCAAAGGUCUCUGUUCUAAUCUGAGAUACACAAACCAAUUUAUCUAGAAAUGCCUCUGGGGAAGUUGUGCACCUUUGGGGAAUAUGUCGAUGUUUGAAGAUACACAGGGUCCGAUUCUGAUCUUGCUUACAUUGGUCCUAGAAGUGAUGUAAUUGACUUGAAUGGAGCGACCCCAAGUGACACUACCUAACUCGGACUCCAGCCAGCAUGCUAGGAGAGUGCAUUUCUCAAAUCAGAAAGGCCCUUUUAAUUUAAGGAGAGAGCUUGAAGUCUUCAAGAGCGACGAGCCUACAAUUGAUAAAAGGCCUCGUCUGCAUUGUUUGUACACACUAUUAACUUGACUCCAACAGUCACCAGAGAGUUUGAGGACCUCUGAGGAAAUAAUAAAGGAAUCACCUAUUUUCUUCCACCUUCUGCUCUUCCUCCUCCUUCAAAUGUUUCCAUGCAGAAGUGGUGAUUUAACGCAAGAGGCUCUUUUCUAAUGAACAGAGACUUGCUUGUGCCUGGAAUUUGUUAAUCAGAAAGUGGGGGACAAACUCCUGGAUGCUUUUAGUCACAGUAGAACAAAUUCUGCGCGGUAACCAACUAUCUUCAGGUUUUUUCACAGUGAUUGUCAUCGUUACAGCUCCUCUGGGGCUACCUAGACAUGGGGAAGUGGAAUAAAUAAUCAGAAGAUGUCUCUAGCUGAUAUUUUCAGCCAAAUUGAUAUCGGUCCAAGAUUUAACACUUCCUUUCUCUGCCAGCCACAGAGUAAGAAUAACAUGUUUUCAGGAUAUCAGAAACCACUAGAAAUCUGUCAUGCUUUGCACUUGAAUAGCACCUUUCAACUGAGGAUCUCAAAGCAACACAUUUUUGGAGCCUCACAGUAUGCUAUGCGGGGGGAGAAGACUAAUUAUUUAGCAUUUCUUUAUUACUAUAACUGUCUGGCAAAAGAGGGGACUGGAGCAAAGAUCUUGCUGUGUGGAUCUGAGGGCAGAACUUCCAUGCAAAUAAGACGUACAAAAAACUUCAAAUGCACUUCUUACUCUGUCAAUCUGUUGGUGUGUUGUCCUCCCAUGUAUGCAGGGGCACCCCUAGAAUUUUUUUCUGAGGGUACAUACCAUCAAUGCCUAUGGAGCCAUCCCUGCUGCUGGCUCCAGCUCCUCACCUGCUGAGUUUGUGCCUUGCUCAGCUCCCGCCUUCCAGUCUGUCCUGCUCACUCCCUGUCCCUGAGAGAGGACACAGGCUGCUGGAGGUAGGGUGAGGCCUUGGUGCAGGAGCUGGCCCUCAGCAUUGGCUAGGAGGAGCAGUGCUGGCCCUGCCAGUCCCCACUCAGGCUUGGCCCUGCAACUCCUCCAUCAUGAUGGAGGGGCCAUGAAGCCAACAUUAAGCGAGUAGCACUGUGACAACCACACCCUUCCCCGUUAAUGGAAGUUGCAACAUCCCUCACUCAGUUUUGGCUCUGUGGCUCCCCUGUCAUGACAGCUGGUCAGCGGGGCCAAACCUGAGUGGGAAGUGGGGCAGACAGUGCUGCUUCUUCUCGAUGCCAGCAGUGGUGCACACUAUGCACGUGACUGUGGGCACCACGGUAUGCACGUCGUACUCCUCUGCAAUAUUCUCGUCUCCCCCUGAAGGGCAGAAAGGUUAAUGACUUGCUAUGUGACUUAGUCAAAGUCAGUGAUGGAGCAUGACUCCUAACCAUCUGCUCUGACCACUAAGCCUAUAUAUGAAGAAGCCUCUUUUACAGGUCUCUUCCUUUCUAAAUAAAACUCUUUUGUCAUUGGGAACCACUCUAUUUGGUGUGUUUUUGUCUUCUUCUACUUCUACUUCUAUGUUCUACUUCUAGAAACCUCUAAAUGGUAUGCUAAAAUCCCAUAUUUUCAGGGCUAUAACUUGAAUAUGAAUAAUACGGCUCUGUUGGUCCCAGAAACUUUGGAGUAAGAC